rnacentral:rRNA from 1 species
UACGGAGGGUGCAAGCGUUAUCCGGAUUUACUGGGUUUAAAGGGUGCGCAGGCGGAUAUGUAAGUCAGUGGUGAAAUCUCCGGGCUUAACCCGGAAACCGCCGUUGAUACUAUAUAUCUUGAAUGCCGUGGAGGUAAGCGGAAUAUGUCAUGUAGCGGUGAAAUGCUUAGAUAUGACAUAGAACACCUAUUGCGAAGGCAGCUUACUACACGGAGAUUGACGCUCAUGCACGAAAGCGUGGGGAUCAAACAGG